rnacentral:snoRNA from 1 species
CAAACCAAUGAUGAGAAUAUUAUCAUGAACCAAGGAUAUGAUGAAUCCAGUUCUGAGUUUCCAAAGUCCCAGAGAAGUGUGUC